CACGGAGUUAGCCGGUGCUUAUUCCGCUGGUACCGGCAAAUACCCUCGCAAGGAUACCCUUCUUCCCAGCUAAAGGAAGUUUACAACGCUGAGCGCCUUCAUCCUUCACGCGGCAUGGCUGGGUCAGGCUUGCGCCCAUUGCCCAAUAUUCCCUACUGCUGCCUCCCGUAGGAGUCGGGUCCGUCUCUCAGUACCCGUGUGGGGGCCAAUCCUCUCAGAACCCCUACUGAUCAUCGCCUUGGUAGGCCGUUACCCUGCCAACUAGCUAAUCAGACGCAAACCCCUCCCUGAUCUAUAAAUAUUUACCCAGCACUCCAGGUGAAGUAAAGGGACCAUGCGGGUUUACCCCAGCUUUCGCCGGGCUAUCCCCAAUCAGGGCAGGUUGUUACGCGUUACGCACCCGUUUGCCGCUGCAGGUAUCGCUACCCACCGCUCGACUUGCAUGUAUUAGGCCUGCCGCUAGCGUUCAUCCUGAGCCAGGAUCAAACUCU
rnacentral:rRNA from 1 species